rnacentral:rRNA from 1 species
UGAAUACGAGAUGCUACGGCGUCGAAGCAGUCUAUGUCAUACUUCCAAGAAAAGCUUGCACUGUCAUAAACAAAUAAUGCCUGUACCAUAACCGACACAGGUGGGUAGGUAGAGUAUACUAAGGGGCGCGAGAUAACUCUCUCUAAGGAACUCGGCAAAAUGACUCCGUAACUUCGGGAGAAGGAGUGCCUUAUUUAUAAGGUUGCAAUAACAAGAUCCAAGCAACUGUUUACCAAAAACACAGGUCUCCGCUAAGUCGUAAGACGAUGUAUGGGGGCUGACGCCUGCCCAGUGCCAGAAGGUUAAAGAAGUUGGUUAGCAUCCGCGAAGCUGAUAGCUGAAGCCCUGGUGAACGGCGGCCGUAACUAUAACGGUCCUAAGGUAGCGAAAUUCCUUGUCGGGUAAGUUCCGACCCGCACGAAAGGCGUAAUGAUUUGGAUACUGUCUCGGAGAGGGGCUCGGUGAAAUAGACUUGUCUGUGAAGAUGCGGACUACCUGCACCAGGACAGAAAGACCCUACGAAGCUUUACUGUAACCUGAAAUUGAAAUUGGACUUUACUUGCGCAGUAUAGGUGGGAGGCGUUGAGAAUAUUCUUGCGGGAUUAUUGGAGCCAUCAGUGAGAUACCACUCUUGUAAUGUUAGAUUUCUAACUUUUGUAUCAUUAUCUGGUCAAAGAACAGUUUCAGGCGGGCAGUCUGACUGGGGCGGUCGCCUCCUGAACGGUAACGGAGGCGCACAAAGGUUUCCUCUGAACGGGUAGAAAUCGUAUCUAGAGUGUAAAGGCAUAAGGAAGCUUGACUGUGAGACCUACAAGUCGAGCAGGGACGAAAGUCGGUCUUAGUGAUCUGACGGUGCUGAGUGGAAAGGCCGUCACUCAACGGAUAAAAGUUACUCUAAGGAUAACAGGCUGAUCUCCCCCAAGAGUUCACAUCGACGGGGAGGUUUGGCACCUCGAUGUCGGCUCAUCGCAUCCUGGGGCGGUAGUACGUCCCAAGGGUUGGGCUGUUCGCCCAUGAAAGCGGUACGCGAGCUGGGUUCAGAACGUCGUGAGACAGUUCGGUCCAUAUCCGGUGUAGGCGCUAGAAUAUUGAGAGGAGCCUUCUUUAGUACGAGAGGACCGAGAAGGACAUACCUCUGGUGUACCAGUUAUCGUGCCAACGGUAAACGCUGGGUAGCUAUGUGUGGAGUGGAUAACCGCUGAAAGCAUCUAAGUGGGAAGCCCACCUCAAGAUAAG